AAAUCCCCAUUCUGAUUACCUACAAAAUUUGUUUUUGUUUGUUACUUUUUUCUACUUGAGUGAGCACAAAUUUUAAAGCGAAAACUUAUUAUAGUUGUAAAUAGUCAUCUGAUUAGUCAACAAGUGGUUUUUAUUGAUUUUUGUGUGGAAGUACACGCUCUCUAAUCUUCAAAUUUGUUUUAUUUUGUAGAAAUUACAUAUUUGAUUUUUACAGUUUUAAAUUAUUAGAAUGGAUCUCUCAACUAAAAAAACAUAUUUUUUAAUAACUGGUGCAUCAAAAGGAAUCGGAAAAUGUAUGGCGAUUGAAUGUUGUAAGAAAUUCGUAAAAAAUUCUUUAGCAGUGCUUGUGGCUAGAUCUGCUUCUGGUUUAGAAAAAACUAAAAAUGAAAUUGAACAAAAUAAUCCGCAAAUCAAAGUGAAAGUAAUUCCUAUGGAUUUAACUAAAGCAAAUUCGAAUGAUUAUGAUAAUUUAUUAAGUGACUCAGUUGGAAAUUGUUUUGGUUCAGAUAAUUUUGAAAGAGCAAUCAUUAUACAUAAUGUUGGUUCAUUAGGUGAUGUAACUUGUAAAGCAAAAGAUUUUAAUGAUAAUCAGAAAUGGUCAGAAUAUUUUCAUUUGAAUGUUUUCUCGGUAGCAGCUUUAAAUUCACAAUUUAUAAAGAAGUUUUCAAAAUGUGAAAAAAUAAUUAUUAAUAUAACUUCAAAAUGUGCAAUAGAACCAUUUAAUAGUUUAACAUUUUACUGUUCAGGUAAAGCUGCACGAGAAAUGUAUUUUCGAUGUUUGGCUAACGAAGAAGCAAUUGAUUCAAAAUCAAAUAUUCUUGUAUUAAAUUAUUCUCCUGGACCAGUUGAUACUGAUAUGUCAUUGGAAAUACAAAAUAAAUCAAGUGAUGAUAAUAUAAAGGAAGUGUUUGGAAAUAUGAGAGCAAAAAAAGAAAUUUUAACACCAAUUCAAACAACAAAAAAGUUUAUAGAUGUUUUGGAAGCUAAAAAAUUUAAAUCUGGAGAUCAUAUUGACUAUUUUGAUUGAGAUAAGUGAAUUAGAAUAUUUUCUUGUAACACCAGUUUUCAUCAAUAUAGUUAUUGUUUUGAUUUCUUCCUGGAAUUGCAUGGAUGAGGCUACCAAAGUUGGACUCAAUGUACAUAAUAUUUUUUUCGGUUUAGAUAGUUUAAAAAUUUCAAAGCAGUUGCAGAAUUUCUCGUUACAAUUAAAACAUGAAGAAAUUAUUAUUGAUGCAUAUGGAUUUUCUAUUGUUGAUUGUGCAUUUAUUCGAAAGAUGAUGGGAACCUUAGCCAGUUAUGGAGUAUUUUUUAUACAAUUUCAGUAUCAGUUGAGAAAAGUUUAAAUUAUUUAAAUGGCGUAAUAAUUUAAAAAUUGGAUUAAAAUGAUAAAUAUUAAAAAUUUAUUAUUGGAUUAAAAGUAAAUUAAUUUAAACCAACUUUGAUUUGUGUUCAUCAAUCCAUUCACUUAUGUUCGAGAUUGCACUCUUUCCAGCUUAAGACUUUGGAUUUUAAUAGAUUCAUUUGCUGACCAUCAUUCAACUU